AGUCGUAACAAGGUUUCCGUAGGUGAACCUGCGGAAGGAUCAUUAGUGAAUAUUAGGGUGUCCAACUUAACUUGGAACCCGACCCUCACUUUCUAACCCUGUGCAUUUGUCUUGGGUAGUAGCUUGCGUCGGCGAGCGAAUCCCAUUUCACUUACAAACACAAAGUCUAUGAAUGUAACAAAUUUAUAACAAACAAAACUUUCAACAACGGAUCUCUUGGCUCUCGCAUCGAUGAAGAACGCAGCGAAAUGCGAUACGUAAUGUGAAUUGCAGAAUUCAGUGAAUCAUCGAAUCUUUGAACGCACCUUGCGCUCCAUGGUAUUCCGUGGAGCAUGCCUGUUUGAGUGUCAUGAAUACUUCAACCCUCCUCUUUCUUAAUGAUUGAAGAGGUGUUUGGUUUCUGAGCGCUGCUGGCCUUUACGGUCUAGCUCGUUCGUAAUGCAUUAGCAUCCGCAAUCGAACUUCGGAUUGACUCGGCGUAAUAGACUAUUCGCUGAGGAUUCUGGUCUCUGACUGGAGCCGGAUGAGAUUAAAGGAAGCUACUAAUCCUCAUGUCUAUCUUGUGAUUAGACCUCAAAUCAGGUAGGACUACCCGCUGAACUUAAGCAUAUCAAAAGUCG
rnacentral:rRNA from 1 species